AACGCUGGCGGCGUGCCUAAUACAUGCAAGUCGAACGGUCUUUCUAUGGAAGCUUGCUCCACUGAGAAGAUAGUGGCGAACGGGUGAGUAACACGUGGGUAACCUGCCCAUAAGAGGGGGGAUAACAUCCGGAAACGGGUGCUAAUACCGCAUAGUUUUCUUGAUCGCAUGAUUGAGAAAGGAAAGACGGCCUUUGUGCUGUCGCUUAUGGAUGGACCCGCGGCGUAUUAGUUAGUUGGUGAGGUAACGGCUCACCAGGACGAUGAUACGUAGCCGACCUGAGAGGGUGAUCGGCCACAUUGGGACUGAGACACGGCCCAAACUCCUACGGGAGGCAGCAGUAGGGAAUCUUCCGCAAUGGACGAAAGUCUGACGGAGCAACGCCGCGUGAGUGAAAGAAGGUUUUCGGAUCGUAAAACUCUGUUGUCAGAGAAGAACAAGUUGGAGAGUAACUGCUCCAGCCUUGACGGUAUCUGACCAGAAAGCCACGGCUAACUACGUGCCAGCCGCGGC
rnacentral:rRNA from 1 species